AUUGAACGCUGGCGGAAUGCUUUACACAUGCAAGUCGAACGGUAGAGGGGGCAACCCCUCGAGAGUGGCGAACGGGUGAGUAAUAUAUCGGAACGUGCCCAGUCGUGGGGGAUAACGUAGCGAAAGUUACGCUAAUACCGCAUACGAUCUACGGAUGAAAGCGGGGGACUCGCAAGAGCCUCGCGCGAUUGGAGCGGCCGAUAUCAGAUUAGGUAGAUGGUGAGGUAACGGCUCACCAUGGCGACGAUGGGUAGGGGGCCUGAGAGGGUGGUCCCCCACACUGGUACUGAGACACGGACCAGACUCCUACGGGAGGCAGCAGUGAGGAAUAUUGGUCAAUGGGCGCAAGCCUGAACCAGCCAUGCCGCGUGCAGGAAGACGGUCCUAUGGAUUGUAAACUGCUUUUAUUUGGGAAUAAACCUAUCUACGUGUAGAUAGCUGAAGGUACCAAAUGAAUAAGCACCGGCUAACUCCGUG
rnacentral:rRNA from 1 species